rnacentral:rRNA from 1 species
UACGGAGGAUGCAAGCGUUAUCCGGAAUUAUUGGGCGUAAAGCGUCUGUAGGUGGCUUUUUAAGUCUGCCGUCAAAUCCCAGGGCUUAACCCUGGACAGGCGGCGGAAACUACCAAGCUGGAGUACGGUAGGGGCAGGGGGAAUUUCCGGUGUAGCGGUGAAAUGCGUAGAGAUCGGAAGGAACACCAGUGGCGAAGGCGGCUACCUGGACAGAUACUGGCACUGAGGCGCGAGAGCGUGGGGAGCAAACAGG